GAUUAACGCUGGCGGCGUGCAUAACACAUGCAAGUCGAACGAUGAAACUUAAAUGAUUUCUUCGGAAUGAACUUAAGUGAAUUAGUGGCGGACGGGUGAGUAACGCGUGAGUAACCUGCCUUACACAAGGGGAUAGCCGUUGGAAACGACGAAUAAUACCCUAUGAAACUAUCACUUCGCAUGAAGCGAUAGUCAAAGUGUUAGCGGUGUAAGAUGGACUUGCGUCUGAUUAGCUAGUUGGUGAGAAAAAAGCCCACCAAGGCAACGAUCAGUAGCCGGCUUGAGAGAGUGUACGGCCACAUUGGGACUGAGACACGGCCCAGACUCCUACGGGAGGCAGCAGUGGGGAAUUUUGCACAAUGGGGGAAACCCUGAUGCAGCGACGCCGCGUGAUGUAGAAGGCCUUCGGGUUGUAAAAAUCUUUUGGAUAGGAAGAAAAUGACAGUACUAUACGAAUAAGGUCCGGCUAAUUACGU
rnacentral:rRNA from 1 species